rnacentral:rRNA from 1 species
UGCGGUAGGGGAGACUGGAAUUCCCGGUGUAACGGUGGAAUGUGUAGAUAUCGGGAAGAACACCAAUGGCGAAGGCAGGUCUCUGGGCCGUCACUGACGCUGAGGAGCGAAAGCGUGGGGAGCGAACAGGAUUAGAUACCCUGGUAGUCCACGCCGUAAACGGUGGAUGCUGGAUGUGGGGACCAUUCCACGGUCUCCGUGUCGGAGCCAACGCGUUAAGCAUCCCGCCUGGGGAGUACGGCCGCAAGGCUAAAACUCAAAGAAAUUGACGGGGGCCCGCACAAGCGGCGGAGCAUGCGGAUUAAUUCGAUGCAACGCGAAGAACCUUACCUGGGCUUGACAUGUUCCCGACAGCCCCAGAGAUGGGGCCUCCCUUCGGGGCGGGUUCACAGGUGGUGCAUGGUCGUCGUCAGCUCGUGUCGUGAGAUGUUGGGUUAAGUCCCGCAACGAGCGCAACCCUCGCCCUGUGUUGCCAGCACGUCGUGGUGGGAACUCACGGGGGACCGCCGGGGUCAACUCGGAGGAAGGUGGGGAUGACGUCAGAUCAUCAUGCCCCUUACGUCCAGGGCUUCACGCAUGCUACAAUGGCCGGUACAACGGGAUGCGACCUCGUGAGGGGGAGCGGAUCCCUUAAAACCGGUCUCAGUUCGGAUUGGAGUCUGCAACCCGACUCCAUGAAGGCGGAGUCGCUAGUAAUCGCGGAUCAGCAACGCCGCGGUGAAUGCGUUCCCGGGCCUUGUACACACCGCCCGUCAAGUCAUGAAAGUGGGUAGCACCCGAAGCCGGUGGCCCAACCUUUUUGGGGGGAGCCGUCUAAGGUGAGACUCGUGAUUGGGACUAAGUCGUAACAAGGUAGCCGUACCGGAAGGUGCGGCUG